CAAGCGAAUGUCGGACAAAAGAAGAGACGAUACAAAAGAAAACCCCGAAAUUAUUACACAUUUUGCAACGGUCUGGUAAAUUGUGUAAUAAAACGGUAAACAUAAGAGAAAAGUGAACGCUACGAUAAUAAAAACGAAAUGAUGGCACUAACAAAAUUGCCGCAUAUGCGUCGUUGAGCGAGAGUGGCAUGUGUGAGAAAAGAAAGAGCGAAAAAGUGUCGUAUCAACAACAAAUCGCGAAAUUUACUACAAGCAAACGCAGUUGUAAAUCAAAUGAGAGCGCGAGCGAAGGCUUCCACUCAACACUAGCGCAAACGCACUCACAAUAUAUUCCACAGUGAGUGGAGCAAGAGUCACACAUUUAGCAUUUGGUUGGUCUGAACUGCGCCGGAAGGCGAAGCGUGUUUCAGAUUGACGAGAGCCAGCAACGCGUCGAGUGUGCUUUUUAGCGACGUGCGCGUAAAACAAUAGGGCGACAACAUAACAUUAAACUGCAACAACAAAAAUUAUACAAAACGUCAGCAAGAGAGAACGAGAGAGCUAGUGAUUGCGAGAGGGAGAGUAAGAGAGUGAGUGAGUGAAUGGUUAUUUGCCACCCACCACAGAGCAAAGCGAAUGGCAAAUGUGUGAAGUGCCCGCCGACUAAACUCACUCACACACAUACACCACUACCGAAAUACCAAUAUACCAAUACCAAUACAUACAAACACUCUCUCGCACGCACGCAAAAAUAACGCAAAAAAUAAAACAACAAAACGGAACGCAAAGAGAAAAACGCCCACCGUACAGCCAGCCGCCCGUCCCCCUCGUCUAGAGUCCCCGUCGCGUGUGUUACUGUGUUGUUGCUAUAAGCAACCAUCACGUCACACAGUCUCCCGAAGCAGCAGCAGCGGCCGUGUUUGGUACUAACAAGAAGCAGCAGCAGCAGUAGAAGAAGAGGAAGAGAGCCGCCGCCGCCGUUUGGAGCCCUGCGCAGAAAUCGAUUUUUUUUCGCCCAUUUGGCCGUACAACGAACGAAGUCAACCUCAACCGAAAUUCGUUUUAAGCACAGUACACGCAUUGACGAUUGUGUGUGUGUAAUGUGUAAAUGAGAGCAAAGCAGCAGCAGCAUAACCCAAAACGCAGCCAAAUAUCGAAACUCAAACGCAUUGCACUUUGCAAGUGCUUUCGAUAAGUGUGCAAAGUGAACGAAAGCCGUCGAUCAACAAAACAUCUCUAAUCGAUAACACGUUGCUGCCCCGCCCACUCCCCUCGCGCUUCGUUUGUCAAUAUUUGUGUGUGCGUGCGUGUGUGAAGAUCGGCAAUCAACACCGACCAAGUGCAUAACAACAAACACUCAAUAAAAAAAGAAAGAAAAACGCAAGGUUGAUUAAAAAGAGAAAAAAUGAAAACGGUGUGCUAAAAAGCUUUUCGCCCAUACAAAUAAAUCCCACGCAUUGUUUAACGCAACAGUAAAUAUAAAAGAAAAUAAGCAGCUAAAAUAUAUAAACGAUAUAUUUCUUGUUGCUUGCCGUGAGUCAUUAUUUAACGUUGUUGCUGUGCUCAGCCACUUGACUUGCUGCCUGGCAUUGAGGAGCUCGUGCUUAGUGUGUCGCUGUCUCUGUCUCAGUGUUGGUGUUGUUGGUGCUCCGCUAGUGUGCGUUAGUGUUAGUGUUGGUGCUACUGUCGUCGUCGCCGUCGUCAUCGUCGCUCUCUCGCUGCGGCUCUCUUGAGCGCAAAACACGCGCGCCGUUAACGAAAAAGCAAAAGCAUAAAAAAAAAAGAAAAACCGACUGCCAAAGAAUAUACAUAUAUAUUUGUAUGUGUAUGUAUAUGUAUUAUUAAGCAAAAGAAAAGAAUAGCAAAAAGUGAGGUGCGUGUAGCAAACAUAACAACACAACAGAAGAACUUGAGAAUUGUGAAUUGUGCGAAACGAAGCGAAACGAAACGAAGCAAAGCAACAAACAAACAACAGCAACAACAACAACAACAUCAUCACGAAAAGGCAGAAGUGAAGAGUGAAGUAUUUAUUUAGGCCACGCUGCAUGCGAAAAACCAUUUAGCGGUCACACAAAUCUACGGAAAAUCAAUAGUCACUUUUGUAAGCAGCAGCAGCAGCAGUCGAAAAGUAAAAACACAGAAAACAGAAAACAAAAAACACGCUGAGCAACAAAACGCUGCAAAAGUUGACAGUUAACUGCUAACAACAACAACUCGAUAAUAACAACAAAAGCUUACGUAAAGCUCGCGUUAAACGGCAACUGCAACAACUGCAACUAACAAAUCAAAAAGCAAAAAGCAGAAAAAGAAAAAACUCAACGACACAAUCGUUUGUUCGUUCAGUUGAAAGUGAAGCGAGAAGUGCGAAAGAGAAGAAACUAGUUAUUUGAACCUCAGCUAAACUUCCGCUGUCAAGAUGACGAAAGACAGAUUAGCCGCCUUGCAUGCCGCCCAAUCGGACGAUGAGGAGUCCGAGGAUGUCGCCGUCAAUGUGGACGGACAUGAUUCGUAUAUGGAUGAUUUCUUUGCCCAGGUCGAGGAGAUACGCGGCAUGAUCGAUAAGGUGCAGGACAAUGUCGAGGAGGUGAAAAAGAAGCAUUCGGCCAUAUUGUCAGCACCACAAUCGGACGAGAAGACCAAACAGGAGCUCGAGGAUUUGAUGGCCGACAUCAAGAAGAAUGCAAACCGGGUGCGUGGCAAACUCAAGGGCAUCGAACAGAAUAUCGAACAGGAGGAGCAACAGAAUAAAUCAUCGGCCGAUUUGCGUAUACGCAAGACGCAGCAUUCGACAUUGUCGCGCAAAUUCGUCGAGGUGAUGACCGAAUACAAUCGCACCCAGACCGAUUAUCGAGAGCGCUGCAAGGGAAGAAUACAGCGUCAGUUGGAGAUCACAGGACGUGCGACAACGAGCGAGGAGUUGGAGGAUAUGUUGGAGCAGGGAAAUCCGGCGGUGUUCACACAGGGCAUCAUCAUGGAGACGCAGCAGGCGAAACAGACGCUGGCCGAUAUCGAGGCACGGCAUGCGGACAUCAUGAAGUUGGAGACAUCGAUCAAGGAGCUGCACGACAUGUUCAUGGACAUGGCGAUGCUGGUGGAGUCGCAGGGCGAGAUGAUCGAUCGCAUUGAGUAUCAUGUGGAGCAUGCUAUGGAUUAUGUGCAGACAGCAACUCAGGAUACCAAAAAGGCGCUCAAAUAUCAAAGUAAAGCGCGACGAAAGAAGAUCAUGAUACUGAUAUGCUUGACUGUGUUGGGUAUCAUAGCGGCUGCAUAUGUUAGCAGUAUUUUCAUUAUCAAAGCCAGCAAAUAGCAUGCGUACUUAAGCUAUACAAUACGUAUUUUGUAGUUGCUAAAGAAUACGAUAAACUAACUAAAUUAAUUAAAUCAGAAUAUAAGCAUAGAAAGCACAGCAAAACACACACUAACCCAAACAAAGAAAAAAGAACGCUUUUGAGAAAUGCUUUCGCUUAAGUAGGAAUUGCACCUGUAAGAGCACAACAACAACUAGAACAACAACAACUACAACUAAAAAACGACAACAACAACAAAUACAACAAGAAAGCGAAUCCAGUUUGAUUUCUAGUUCCACUUUGCAACUUGCAACUGCACGUUUCUAUCUCAUUUGCAUCAUAAUAAUAACGAGUGACAACAACAACAACAACAACAACAACAACAACAACAACAGUUGCAACUGCACGCAUAUUAAUGCACAUUUUUACACACACAACAACAACAAGAAGGAGAAGAAGAGGGAACUUCGUAUUAUGGCAUUGAAUCAAACUGUGUUUAGCCAAUUUUGUUGACCACAAUCAAUGUGUUUUGGUGUCACGCCCACUGCCCACUGCAACAACAACAACAACAACUAAAACAACAACAACAGCAGCAGCAACAACAACAACGCGUCCAUCUUCGUGCGUCGUGAUAAACGCGAUAAAUAUUCGAUCAAAGUGAAUUCCAGCUUACAAAAACGCCCAAGUUUCGCCUCGCCAACAAAUUGCAGCAGCUGCCAAGCAUCCAGCAAAACGCCAAGAUGAAAAACCAUAAAAGGUACAAACCAAGGAAGAACAAGGAACAAGAGGAGAAAGAGGAGGAGAACAAGGAAAGGUCACGUAGCGGAUUCAGGUGCCGGGAUGAAUACAGGAAGAACUUGGAGCUGCCUGACUGACUAAUUAACGCGUGCGGCGAGAGUAAAUUAAUAGCGCCACGCCCCCUCAACGCCUCGACGCCUGCAAUCAGCCAGCGAACGAACUUCAGCAGCUGGCGAAUUAAAUUUCAGUCAAGUUUAUUUGCUGCUGAAAAUGUUAGAGAGAAGAUAGAAACCAGAAGGCUCUCUCUCUCUCUCUCUCUCUCGACUCUCAACUCGAGCGAGUAAUUUAAUUUUGGCAUUCACGUUGUAGUUGUUUCGUUUGUUGAUGGAAGAAGAGGAGAAAGAAGAAGACGUUGCACGUGUUUUGCAUUUUCCAUUACCAUUUUUACAAUGGCGUCACACACACAAUCUACAAUCUAGUACGAGCUAUUAAUUAUAUUAUUUAUAAUGAUUGUUUUGUUCAGUUUCCUGUUGAAUGUUGCCAGCAACAAACGCUUUAUUUACAUGUAAAUAGUCAUUAUAAUUAUUACGAGAACAUUUUGUAAAUCAACACAAAAAACGAGAACAGCUAAAAUAACUCUUAAAAAUUCUACGUUUUUUGCAACAUUAAAAUAAAAAGUAAAAACGAAAAAGCAAAAGAAAAAAAUAUUUAUUACGACAUUUAGUAUUUGUGCAUUAACUAAAUUUAUGACGGGAAGUGAAAGAAGCGAGAGGCAAGAAGCGAAAUGCAUAAAAAACAAAAACGAUAACAACUAUUAAUUAGUAAUUAUUAUAAUGUGAUGUUAUACAUAUAAUAUACAAUAUAAACAAAUAGCAAACACAAAAAAAACGUAAAAACAAAUAAAAAAUUAUAUAAAGAUAGUAAACAAAAAAAAACUUUAAACAAAAUGUUAACCAACAAAAACGAUAAAAAAAAAACAAAUUUUAUUAAGUAGAUUUUUGAAUUAAAAUUUAAUAUUACGUACAUAUAUAUAAAUAUAUACAUAAACAAAUAUAAACAAAAAAAAAACUAAAGAAAAUCUUUGAAAUGCGUUUUUCUACUUAAACCGAAACUAAAAUCGAAAAUCGAAAAUUCAGAAACCGAAAGCAAAAAGAAAUUGUCGAAUCCGAGAAACUAGAAUUGUAAAUUUUUUUCCCAAAAUUUAGCUUGCUAUAAACAAAAUGUAAAUGUUGUGCGAAAUAUAAACAAUUAGAUAAACCAGAAAAAAUAUAAAUAUAAAUAAAUAUGUGUAGCAAACAAACAUACAACAAAGAACAGAAUUGAAAUGAUUGAUUGAUAAUUAAUGAAUUUGCAAAAAGUUUUUCAAUUUAGUUAAAUUACAAAACAAAUUAUGUGUGUGUAUUUACUUCUACUCUAUAAGAAAAACGUUUAAAAUGCUAUUAUAAAGAACAAAAAAAAAAGAAAGCCAUCUACUUCUUCAAAGCACGACACGACGAUUUCUUCUUGACCGACAAACUAUUUAAAUAAAAUCGCUUAAACGAGUAAUAUUUAAAUAUAGUAUGUUAACGGCUUACAUAUAAACAACAUUAUUUUUGAAUUUUCUAGUUUUCUACAUAAAUCGCAUUUCUUCCACUUUCACGAAAAAUACCAACUACAAAAUAAAAUCGAAAUCAAUAUCGAUAUCGAGAAGAGAAGAACGAAGAAAAACCGAACGAAAAGAUUUGUUAUUAAACUUGAAUUUGUUUAUUUAUUCUGCCACGCUCAAAAUUAAUGGCGCGCCUAAUAAUUAUUAUUAGUUUGUUAUUUAUAUUAAAUAAAAAUCGAUUAAUCGUUAAUCGAUUUAGCUUAAGUUUCGAUUCGCAAUAAACAAAAAGAUAAACAAAACAAAACUGCAAAUAUAAAGCAUAUAUUUUUGGUACAAUUGUUUCGCCAUGUUGUUUUUAUUUAUUCAUCAACAAAUUGUACAAAAUACAAAAGAGAAAUUACAUUAAUUAUUACUACAACUUUCCACACACACACACACAUACAUACAAAGACAGACACGAACAAGAAACAAAGCAAAACAAAAGAAUGGAAAAACAACAACAAUUUAAGCGCAGAAGUUCAAUUAAUAAAAAUUAGAAUUUUAAAUAUAAAUAGUUACAUAAUUUAAAUAUAUAUAUACAAAUAUAUAUAAAGAAAAAGAUAUGCAUAUAAAUAUUUAAAAAGAAUAAAUUGAAACCAAAAGGAAGAACAACAAAAAAUACAAUUAUAUUAUGAUGUAUUAAAAACCAAAAACAAAAAAAAAGAAUGCAUAGAAAUGCGAGUUUCAUAAAAUCCUACAAUUUGUUUCAGACUCGUUAAAUUGUGUACUUUAAAAUUGAAUAAAAUUCAACCAAAAAAAAAAAGAGAAA